UACGUAGGUGGCAAGCGUUAUCCGGAAUUAUAGGGCGUAAAGCGUCCGCAGGUGGCACUUCAAGUCUGUCGUCAAAGACUGGGGCUUAACCCUGGAAAGGCGGUGGAAACUGAAGCGCUAGAGUGCGGUAGGGGUAGAGGGAAUUCCCGGUGUAGCGGUGAAAUGCGUAGAGAUCGGGAAGAACAUCGGUGGCGAAAGCGCUCUACUGGACCGCAACUGACACUCAGGGACGAAAGCUAGGGGAGCGAAUGGG
rnacentral:rRNA from 1 species